AGAAGACAAGGUGAUAUUUAACCAUACAAUAACGAAAGAAUGUCAUCUGAUUUUAUUACUAACAUAUAUGCUUGUUAUGCUUAACUGUUUGUUUUAUGCUAGCAUGUAUUGGCAUGGCUGGGCAGUGUUAAUAUAUUUGUAUAUUUAUAUAUUUUGUUUUAUUAUUGUGAUACCUUAUGUUUUGUUUUAAGCAUUGUAACCCA
rnacentral:lncRNA from 1 species